UACGUAGGGACCGAGCGUUGUCCGGAAUCAUUGGGCGUAAAGAGCGUGUAGGCGGCUACUUAAGUCCUGCGUGAAAUCCUGCGGCUCAACCGCAGGCGGUCGUGGGAAACUGGGUGGCUAGAGUGCGGGAGAGGAGAGUGGAAUUCCUGGUGUAGCGGUGGAAUGCGCAGAUAUCAGGAAGAACACCCGUGGCUAAGGCGGCUCUCUAGUACGGUACUGACGCUGAGACGCGAAAGCGUGGGGAGCGAACAGG
rnacentral:rRNA from 1 species